rnacentral:rRNA from 1 species
AUAAAGUGGCGAACGGCGGAGUAACACGUGGGCAACCUGCCCUUUGCACUGGGAUAGCCUCGGGAAACCGAGGUUAAUACCGGAUACUCCAUAUUUGUCGCAUGGCGAAUAUGGGAAAGCUCCGGCGGCAAAGGAUGGGCCCGCGGCCUGUUAGCUAGUUGGUGGGGUAGUGGCCUACCAAGGCAAUGAUGGGUAGCCGGGUUGAGAGACCGACCGGCCAGAUUGGGACUGAGACACGGCCCAGACUCCUACGGGAGGCAGCAGCC